rnacentral:misc_RNA from 1 species
AAGUCGUAACAAGGUUUCCGUAGGUGAACCUGCGGAAGGAUCAUUAUUGAAAUAGCACGACGGGAAGCUGUUGCUGGCCCUAGUGGCCGUGCACGCUUCUGUCCUUCAUUUCUCCAUCUAUUUGUGCACCUCUUGCGUAGACCCCUCUGUUAGGACUGCUUUGCAAAAUUGAUUGUGGGCUUUCCUUGUUUCUACGUCGUCAUAUACACCAGUGUAACGAUUUGGAAUGAAUGGAAUUUUGAUGCAAUAUAUAAAGCACAACUUUCAGCAACGGAUCUCUUGGCUCUCGCAUCGAUGAAGAACGCAGCGAAAUGCGAUAAGUAAUGUGAAUUGCAGAAUUCAGUGAAUCAUCGAAUCUUUGAACGCAUCUUGCGCUCCUUGGUUAAUCCAAGGAGCAUGCCUGUUUGAGUGUCAUUAAUGUCUCAACCACGCCGUGAGGUCGUGGCUUGGAUUUGGGGGUCACAGGCUCUGAACUUGUGGUCUGCUCCCCUGAAAUACAUGAGCGGUGAACGACCCUCUCCGUCGAGAUGUGAUACAUGUCUGCAUCCAGUUGAGGGUUUUGCUGCUGCGAGAGUUGGAUUUGAUAAACUUGGCCUCAAAUCAGGUAGGACCACCCGCUGAACUUAAGCAUAUCAAUAAGCGGAGGAAAAGAAACUAACCAGGAUUCCCUUAGUAACUGCGAGUGAAGUGGGAAGAGCUCAAAUUUGUAAUCUGGUGGCCUUUGGCCGUCCGAGUUGUAAUCUAAAGAA